GUUGUGUUAUUCACGCCAGUGUGCCUUCGGCCAAAAGAUUCGUCAAUUUAACGGAUUCUCCAUCCUUUACGCACACAUUGUGGUGUUUAUGGAAAAUGCCUUUUCCAUCCCUUUUUAAUUAUCCGAUCAUUUUCGGAACCGAAGCCAGUCUAUGCUCUGUUGUGAUUGGCUGAACCUUUUUAUUAAAGUUUUAUUUUUGCCUUGUAAAAAAACAUGGCUGCAAUUAUAGUGAAAUGUAAAAUGUAAAUAUGUUCCUUGAGUAAAACUGUGAAACCAGUGGAACUACAGGAAACUACAAAUCAAUUUAUCAAGGAUUUUAUUUCUAUUUAUUUAUUUUCUGUAUAUUAUUGUAUAGUAUUGUUAAUAAAGAGUUAUAGUUUGAUUUGUGCUCGGUUAAUUUCAGUGUUCGAUAGUAAAAGUGCAAAAGUGUUUUUGUUUUUCGUUCAAAAUGAAGCGCUGUUGCGUGCCUAAGUGUAAAACAGCUAUUAAUUUACGUGCUGUACCAUAUACUGAUGUUACUAGAUGGAAGAAGAAGGACUUGAUCAUUGGAAAUCAGCAUGCUCAAUGGGCUUUCAUUGAACGGGCUUAUGCUACUGAUGGUGCAGGAGGACGUGCCAGAACCAUAGAUUUAAUGAUAAACAUAUAAACCCAAGUUCCUACGAUAAGAUGAAGGUCAUUUAUUAUGCUUCGGACGUCUUCAGUUACAGAGGUACACUGUACACCGCCUUUUACUUGGGAAAAUGAAGUCAUACGAAGAUCUUAGUUAUAGUGUUCCACAAUUAUGUUAACAUAACUCUCUUACAUACUUAUAACAUAAGCCUCUCUGGUUCAGUGGUUACCCUAUGUGGUCACGAGGUCCGGGGUUAUAUAAGAUACUGAGCUUUUCAUCUAAGAAAUUUUGACUUAUAAUUCUCAGUCCUUAGUUGGGAAUUUAGUGGUGUUACACCCUGUGCCUCAGAGUGCACGUUAACCUGUCCCGGACAAGGCCACGUCCUGUAAAUAAUGGAUAAAACGCAAAUGGUAGAUACGCCACCUAAUUCUACAAUUCUACGUUUUAUACUAAUUUACUACCCUCUAUAAGUGUACAAGUUUUUAAAAUAAUGGUUUUUUCGAUUCAAAAUUAGAUUUCAUCAUUUUUUACCGGACAAUGUGUUUUAAAUCGGGUCCUAAUGAAAGAAAAAUAAUUAUUACACAAAAAAUAGUCAAAUUAGUUAUAGAUAAUAAGGUGGUGUAUCUAUCAUAUUAGUCUGAUCUACAUGUGCUCUUUAGUAUAAAAAAAAAGUUCUCCAUCUCCUAUAAAAAUGGUUGAGGUGUCAUUCGAUUCGGAAUUGAAUAUACAUAGUUUUUGAAAAAUUUGAAGGCCCGCUCACUAAAAUUGCAAAAGUUAUAAAUAAUUCACUAAAAAUGAAAAAGGGGUUCAAGCAUUUUUAUAGGAGACAGAACUUUUUUUUACUAAAGAGCAGUGACCACAUUCCAUCCAGUUUAAAUGCGUUAUAACCAUCUGUCAUAUAUUUUGUGAAGUCAUAUAAUUUUGUAACUGUACAAUUUGGUAUUUUACUGCAUGGAAAUGUUUACAUUUUUAUUAAAGAAAUAAAUAAAA